CGGCGUAAAGGGUGAUUAAAAACAAUCUAACUCACACUAAAGUUAAAACCUCAUCAAGCUGUCAUACGCACCCAUGAGUAAAAAACACAACAACGAAAGUGACUUUAUCACAAAAAGAACUUUUGACCUCACGACAGUUAAGACCCAAACUAGGAUUAGAUACCCUACUAUGA
rnacentral:rRNA from 1 species